rnacentral:tRNA from 1 species
GCGGCGUUAGCUCAAUUGGCAGAGCAAGUGACUCUUAAUCACUAGGUUGUCGGUUCGAUUCCGACACGCCGCA